rnacentral:rRNA from 1 species
UGGGGAAUAUUGGACAAUGGGGGCAACCCUGAUCCAGCGAUGCCGCGUGGGUGAAGAAGGCCUUCGGGUUGUAAAGCCCUUUAGGUUGGGAAGAAGGUUUAUAGAGGAUAAUGCUAUAGACAUGACGGUACUAACAGAAUAAGCACCGGCAAACUCUGUGCCAGCAGCCGCGGUAAUACAGAGGGUGCAAGCGUUAAUCGGAAUUACUGGGCGUAAAGGGCGCGUAGGCGGUGAGGCGAGUGUGAUGUGAAAGCCCUGGGCUUAACCUAGGAAGUGCAUCGCAAACGGCCUGACUGGAGUAUGAGAGAGGGUGGCGGAAUUUCCGGUGUAGCGGUGAAAUGCGUAGAGAUCGGAAGGAACGUCGAUGGCGAAGGCAGCCACCUGGCUCAAUACUGACGCUGAGGCGCGAAAGCGUGGGGAGCGAACAGGAUUAGAUACCCCCGUAGUCC